GACAGAGGGUGCAAACGUUGUUCGGAUUUACUGGGCGUAAAGCGCGUGUAGGCGGCUUGGCAAGUCGGAUGUGAAAGCCCACGGCUCAACCGUGGAAGCGCAUCCGAAACUGCUUCGCUCGAGUCUCGGAGAGGAAGGUGGAAUGCUUGGUGUAGAGGUGAAAUUCGUAGAUAUUAGGAAGAACACCAGUGGCGAAGGCGGCUCACUGGCCCGGUACUGACGCUGAGGCGCGAAAGCGUGGGGAGCAAACAGG
rnacentral:rRNA from 1 species